rnacentral:sRNA from 1 species
AUUUAAAAAAAAUGCUGUGAGAGCCGAUCUAUGCAUCUGGUUUGUGAGCCGGUAUUCUGUGAUGGCUGCAGUUUACAGAGAUCCUAGUAGCUCUACACAUCUGUCUUCUGCUUUCCUAGAACCUGGGCUCCCCAUGGAUGACUCACUGCUGGUCGUGUGUGUGUGUGUGUGUGUGUAUGUGUUUGUGAUUUAAAAUUACAUUCAGUCAACUCUCUCUUUUUAUAGCCCUAUGGGCUUUUUGAAUAACCAAAUGCUCAACAGUUCUGUAAUCUUUCAGGUUGCUGUGAUCAGUCCCUAAGGAGUCUACACUCUCAGAGAGAUUGGGAAAGGCCUGGCCAUGCUGGAUAAGGAACUGGCUGCCUCUGUGAACAUCCUACUCAAGGCAUCUUCACUGCUGUACAUCCUUUUGAAAUCCCAGAGGUCUUCAGUCUCCCUGUGGAUUAAGGAGAUGUGCAGUAUUUAAAGUAGCUUCAGGAAGGCAUGGAAGAGGACUGAGUGCGGAAAGCUUUUUGUGCAUGCUGCUGGCCACCUCCAGCGGCUGCCUCCAGCCUCCAUCAGCUGCACUCUGGGGAAGAGGAGGCUGCCUUCUACCUCUCAGCAUCUCUGGAUUUCAUGUUCCUGUCAGCACAGAGGAGCUAAAUGGCCUUU